UUUGAGGAACGCACUAGGAGACAUUCCAACAUCAUCGUCAUCAUCAUCUUCCUUAUCAUCCUCACUUUCAUCAGACUCUGAAGACAAAGUACAGGAGUAUCUUUGUAUCACCAAACUGUGGCAUGCCACGGGCACACAGAAGCUGACAAACGACACAAGCAAAGAAAAAUCAUAAUGAGAGAAAGUGGAAAGGCAGGUGGUGGCGGCCCUCUGAUUGUAAGUAUAAUCACAACUUGCCAUCAGAGGGCCUACUUUCUGCAGGAAAAAAAGGAGGUCCUCACCUCAUUGAGGUAAUCUUCCAGGUCUGCCAGCAGUCGAAUGUAAAAUGUUGGAACACCCUCCUUAUCCACAACUGUUUUGGAUUUCAGGAAGGCCUUACACAGCUGCUCAAACUCCUCCAAACAUUUUGACACAUCCCGAAUUUUCAUUGCAUUCCGAAUAGUUUUGAUGAUGUUAGUGAGUUCCUCAAACCUGAAAGACAAACAAAUCAAUUCCAAAAAAUUCUCAUUUAAGGGCAAUGGAGCGAUAAGUGCAGGACAUGGUGUUUUAUCUCAUUUACCUCUUAUCUUUAGUGCUGCGGACCACCCUUUUCGUAUCCUCCUCAUCAUCACUCAGCAGCACAGGCCUGCAAUGCAGAGAUCAUUGUAAUAUAAGAACAAUACUUCAUUACCUAGCUCUUUUCAGAAAUAGUAUAAGGCACAAACAUAUAGAAGUAAAAGUCAAGACAAACUAAAUUCAAAUAAAGAUGGUGUCAAGCAGGACUGGGCAAUAUAUUGAAUCAUUUUUUAUCUGAUUUGAGAUUUAAUAAAAAUCAAUAUGAAGAGGUCAAUAUCUUGAUGGACAACUUCUUCUGAACAUUAAAUAAAAUCUGCAGACGCCACCGCAUUUUCUAAGUGUGUCUACAUCAAUUCUGCUGUUGUUUGUCUUGGGGGUGAUGGGCGUGAAAAAAAAAAAAAAAAUAGAGCGAGGAUCAGAAGAAAUAAGUGUUAGAUGGUUAGCUCGACUGUUUGCAAA